ACCUCAAAACUUUCGUAAAAAUGUAACUCUGUCCAUAGAUAAACCAUUUGUAUGUAAACAAAAACUGUCAGUCGACAACAUGGCGGAUAACGCAGUGCGCCUGUGCAAAAUACGUGAUAAAAAGUGUUUGUGUCGUUGCAAAAAAAGAAGAAAAGCCAGGAAAAAACAAGGAGAGGAGAAUGCCUGCUGCAGCAUCCAAACUGCUGUCGAGAUUGUACUACUGUAGUAACUGAAGAUCCAUGUAAUUUGCCAGCUGAAGAUGGGUGCAAACCCGAAAUGCAUAUUGGCGUAAAUAAAAAACGCAUUAAAAAGUG